rnacentral:rRNA from 1 species
AUGUAUGGCCAUGCUACCCUGAACAAGCCCGAUCCCAUCUGAUCUCAGAAGCUAAGCCGGGUCAAGUCUGGUUAGUACUUGGAUGGGAGACCACCUAGGAAGACCAGGUGCAGUAGGUG